AGCAGUGUGGUGUAGUGGUUUGAGUGUUGGACUAAGACUCUGGAGAACAGAGUUCGAAUCUCUGCUUGAGA